rnacentral:rRNA from 1 species
AUAUUGGGCGUAAGGGCUCGCAGGCGGUUUCUUAAGUCUGAUGUGAAAGCCCCCGGCUCAACCGGGGAGGGUCAUUGGAAACUGGGGAACUUGAGUGCAGAAGAGGAGAGUGGAAUUCCACGUGUAGCGGUGAAAUGCGUAGAGAUGUGGAGGAACACCAGUGGCGAAGGCGACUCUCUGGUCUGUAACUGACGCUGAGGAGCGAAAGCGUGGGGAGCGAACAGGAUUAGAUACCCUGGUAGUCCACGCCGUAAACGAUGAGUGCUAAGUGUUAGGGGGUUUCCGCCCCUUAGUGCUGCAGCUAACGCAUUAAGCACUCCGCCUGGGGAGUACGGUCGCAAGACUGAAACUCAAAGGAAUUGACGGGGGCCCGCACAAGCGGUGGAGCAUGUGGUUUAAUUCGAAGCAACGCGAAGAACCUUACCAGGUCUUGACAUCCUCUGACAAUCCUAGAGAUAGGACGUCCCCUUCGGGGGCAGAGUGACAGGUGGUGCAUGGUUGUCGUCAGCUCGUGUCGUGAGAUGUUGGGUUAAGUCCCGCAACGAGCGCAACCCUUGAUCUUAGUUGCCAGCAUUCAGUUGGGCACUCUAAGGUGACUGCCGGUGACAAACCGGAGGAAGGUGGGGAUGACGUCAAAUCAUCAUGCCCCUUAUGACCUGGGCUACACACGUGCUACAAUGGACAGAA